GAUGAGAUUAAACAGGAAGAGAACUCCAAGGUUCAACUUCAACGGCUACUGGAAACUCGAAAAGCCCUGCUAUGGAAAGAACACGCAAUGACUUAUACUCGUGGGCUGGUUGCUGGGUUUGCAAUGGAAAAUAUGGAACAUCUUAUCUCGUUUGCAGAUGCAUUUGGAGCAUCCAGGUUAAGGGAAGCAUGCAUUAAUUUCAAGGAAUUAUGCAAGAAAAAGCAUGUGGGACCGUCUUUGGAUGGAAGAAUUAGCUGCAGUUGAGGCAUGCUCACCAUCAGAACUGCCAGUGUUGGGAACAUCUGGCAUUGUGCUUACAAAUGGAAUUAGCAUCUCUAAUGAUCACACUUCAAAUGAAUCUUCAGCAGGAUCAACAUCAGACACGUGCAGGAGCUGUGGAUUCCA